GGCGGCUGUUGCCCUGAAGGUUCACUGGGAUAAAUAGCAAGAUGAGGAUGACAGUGCUAACAAAGUGUUGCCGACUCUUCUGGCUAGGCGAAGGUGAACUCAGUUAUCAUGGGCCUCGAGGUAGCAGGCGCGUGGGCACCUGAAGUUCAGAUAAAGUGCAUUCCUGGAAUAUCUAUGAAGGAUAUCAAAGUGAAGGAGUAAAA